ACAGCCAUAUGAUGGUGAAACAACGGUUCCCAUACGAUCACAGAAGAUAAGCAACGUCGAGCCUGGUUAGUACUUAGAUGGGUAACCGUUUGGGAAUACCAGGU